AAAAAAAAAAAAAAGAACAAGAAAUUACAACAUGAAGCAUAGUGUAAGUUCUUAAAAGCAUUUAUAGGAACAUACAAAAAUUCAUGUCAGCGCAAACACAUAAAAUACAUCUGACAAAUAAUAAUAAGUUAGCUCUACAGGAUAGCUUUUACCAAAGAGAUUGUCAUAGACAUAAAUGAUAAAAGUUUUAAGUUACAAGCAAUAGUGCUUCCCAAGUUGCAAAGAUUUUCUUGUGAAAGUCCAUUUGGAGCAAUAUUCUGAAGGCAGCUUAUUCCAUUCUCAUCAUUUUAUGAUUGUAUAACAACCACAAGAAUAUGCAUCAAACAAAUUAAUUUUCGUUCCCACCAAUUCAAAUGUAAUCAUAAUUAAUAAUUGACUUUACUCUGAAUCAGGUAAUGAAGAUUUUGAUGAGCAUGUCCACAAAAAUCAAUUCAAAUAACCCCUUAAAAAUGGGUCUGGUUCUGGAAAUUUUUAAAAUUCCAUCCAUAUUCAGAAUUUGUCAAGGCACAAAAGCUAAAGAAAUCCAAGGCUCUAGUGUCAAGCUCAGCCAGAUUACUCUAACUGCAACCAUCUCUUGGACUCUUGGCAAGCUACUGAUUGCCAAUUCUCUUUCCCAACAAUGGAGAUAGCUUAAAAAUAUUUUACAUUACAAAGUAGCUAGUUAAUAAUGUUUCAUUUUCUAAUGCUGACUGCCAGUUCAAACAUUACCUAAGGGCUGGAUGCCAAUAUAGAACUUCCCAACAAAGAGCGCAGAUAUUCAUUUCCUCCAAAUCAAUAUUUUGGAAAUAGAUUUAUAAUUCACAAUUAUCUCUACAUUUUACAUGAUUUGCAUCAAAAAAAUGUCCCAUUGUGAGAAAUAAAUGUCAACAAAAUCAAAGAAACAGCCUUUCAGGAACGCAAAUUAGCAGAAUAGUUCAAUCUUACAUAGAAUUCCAUCAUCAAUACCACACUGCAGACUUAGGUCAAAUCCCUCUUAAGUCAAUAAGAAAACACGUUCUGGCAAGGAACAUUAAUAUGUCCAAAAUAUUCAGUUCUUCUAAACACGCCUCUUACAAACACGGAUUUAAGAUCAACAUUACAUUGAAUCCUUCUACAAAAAUUUAAUUACCAGUAAAUCAAUGCCCAGAUUCCUCACCAUUUUAGAAGUUGGGAAACAGAGUUUAUUCAAUGUAAGCAAAAAAUUUUUUAAAAUGGCAAAAUGCUUUUGAGCAAGAAUAGCCCAGCAGAAAACACAAGAAUUCCACAAGUAAUAUCCUAUAGAGUUCCAAAGAUAUAUAAAUAAAGGGUGAAAGAAUACACUACUCAGCUAACAUUAAGUCAAAACAGCGAACGUAAAAUGAUAACAGCCUACAGCGUGUAACAGAUAUUCUACCCAAAUAACGGCCAAUCUACCGGUUAUAUCACUUUGUUUAAACCAAGAAACAGUGCAAAUUAAAGGAUUAGCAUCUAAAAAAACGUUGGAAUCAAAUGACAGAAACGCAAAAGUUAAAUUUGAAAAUAAAAAUAAAAGAAACUAAAAAGCCAGUAAGGUAUACCGUAAGAAGCAGAGUGCCAGCCAUAAUAAUCUCAUUCUUGGUCAUUGGCCCCAUCUUCUCCAACCUCUCCCUAGCCAACUUAGGCGCAUCUGGGCUGCUCUUCACCGUGGGCGGAUAAAUUAUAUACAAAAGCAAAGGCACAACAAGCAAAGACACCAAUCCAGGCACAAUCGCCGCCUUAGCCCAGUCAGUCCACCCAAUCGUCUGCUUAAUCGUAUUGAAUGUCAAAUUGGCACUCAAAGGAUUAGCUGCCAUGGCAGUCAAGAACAUGGAAGAAGAAAUCGCUGAUGUUUGGAAACAAGUUAACAUUAACCACGAGCCAAGCUUAUUCUCUGUACCAUCACCAGCAUUGCUACCACAAGCAACACACAGAGAUUUCACCAACGGUAAAAAGAUCCCUCCUGCUCUAGCAGAAACUGAAGGAAUUGCAGGCGCUAGUAAAGCUUCACUAAACACGAGACUGUAACCUAAACCCAACGAAGAAGAUCCAAAAAGCGAUACAAAUUGAUAAGCUAUUCUGUUUCCAAGUCCAGUCUUAAUAAAUCCUCGAGCGAAAAAGAAAGCAAGAGCAAUUAACCAAGGGAUUGGAUCGCCGAAAGCUGAAAAUGCAGCGGAGAAAGUUAAGGUUUUGGUGAGUACUGAAGCACCUAAACCCAUCAAGGCUACGGCGCCGAGAGGUAAAGGUUGCGUGAUAAUGCCGACAAUAGUGGCAAGAAAAAUGGCGAGUAGUUGCCAAGCAGGCUUCGAGACUCCAGAAGGAACGGGAACGAACCACAGAAUAACACCUGUGGCUAUUGACGCAAGUAAUGGCUUGAUAGCAGCGCCCUGCCAUGGCUGUGAGGAAGAAACAGAAGAGGCAGGUGAUGCUGCUGCGGCGGCGGAUGCUUUGACCGUUAAGUUCAAAAUUCUCCAUUUCUGAAAGAUUGCGGUGGCGGUGGCUGCAUUGGAUUUGGAGAAUUUUGGAAGGAAAUAAUUGGAGGGAGGAAAUCUGGUAUUAGCAGUGAGUUUAGGGAGGGAAGGAACGCGAUUUGGAGUGGAUCUGAGGUGGGAGAGAGAGCGAGACUUGUGAGAAGGGAGAGAAUUGAAGGCAAGAGAGCAAGAAGAAGAGGAUGUGAGAGCUAGGGACGCCAUUUUGGUUGUCUGCUCUCAGUUUCAGCGUUUCUGCUGAGAAUGCAUGAAAAUAGAAGGAAGGAACGGAAAGUGGGAAGGAGGGCGCGGUGGGUGGGUUCUUACAUGGGAAAUGGAGAGGAGUUGAUUUGGACCGUUGGAUUUGGAUCGGAGGGUGAAUAUGUGUGUGUG
rnacentral:misc_RNA from 1 species